GGGUAUGGUCUAGUCUUAUCCCUACAACAGCUAGCCUUCCUUAAAGUUCUAAGGAGGCAAAAUUUCUCAGAAGUUAUGGAUAUGAUAAUCUACGUGAGUCUAGUGGCCAGUUGUGUUAGCGUGGUGGGGCUUUUUGCUAGCAGCGAGUGGAAAACAUUGAGCAGUGAAAUGGAAAACUACAAACCUGGGAAGGUAUCCUACGUUAUGAACCUAGUGUGGACAGCUAUUACCUGGCAGGUAUUCUCCAUUGGUGGCACAGGACUGAUCUUUGAGCUUUCUUCUCUAUUCUCAAAUGCCAUAAGCGUUCUGGGACUCCCCGUGGUUCCCAUCCUGGCUGUCAUCAUUUUCCAUGACAAGAUGAAUGGGUUAAAGGUGAUUUCUAUGAUCCUAGCUAUUUGGGGUUUCACUUCAUAUGUGUACCAACAAUAUCUUGAUGAUAAAAACUUGAAGAAAAGUCAUGGAAUCCCAACAACAGAAUCCCCUGACCCACCAGAAGCAGAAGGUGUAGUCGGCAAUCAAAAUAAGCUGAUAUCCUGAAAGAUGGUGUUCCGCAGAUUACUGACUUCAUCGAGCUGAUUGAGUAAGAUUACUUUACUUAUGGC
rnacentral:lncRNA from 1 species